CAGUGACUUACCCAUUCCUCGUUAAUUUACACUCAUCAGCUUCCAUUCUGUAACAGUCUUAACUUCCCUAACUGGCUACCUUCAAGAAUGGAAGGAAAACCUUACAAACCAUCCUUAAUCAAAAAAAUGGACAACAAAACCAUGCAUGGAAGUAAAACCAUGGAAUUGAAACCAUUCAAACAAAAAGACAGUCAUUCAAACCAUCAAAGGAAAACCAUUGCAGUGUUUGCCUUGGACAAGUGAUAAGACACCACUAGCCUCCCUUUUCUCUUUUCUAAGAACAAAAACCCUUACUGCCAAUACCACCCUUGGCAUUUCUGGGUUGCCCCACAGUGAAUCCAAAGUAAAGGUGAACAAUACUGAUGGGAAAAUGCACCUGGAGAUUGUUUAAAUUUUUCACUGCAUUUUAUGCAGGUGUUUGCACAUCCUUUUCCAAUGCUUUAUGCUUGUGGCAGUUGGUUGUCAAAUAUGGAGUGGAAUAUUGGACAUCCCUUUACAGAUAUAUUUUCUUAUUCUGCUGUGCUGUCUUGUUGAAAUAAAUUUGAUCCAGGAUCUUUUUAA